UACGUAGGGUCCGAGCGUUGUCCGGAAUUACUGGGCGUAAAGGGCUCGUAGGCGGUCUGUCGCGUCGGUAGUGAAACUCAGGGCUCAACCCUGAGCGUGCUUUCGAUACGGGCAGACUAGAGGUAUGCAGGGGAGAAUGGAAUUCCUGGUGUAGCGGUGGAAUGCGCAGAUAUCAGGAGGAACACCAAUGGCGAAGGCAGGUCCCUGGGCAGUUACUGACGCUGAGGAGCGAAAAGCAUGGGUACGAACAGGAUUAGAUA
rnacentral:rRNA from 1 species